UCUCUGGCUGAGGCGGGCUCCGUGGUUGCUGAGAAAACCAAAACGCCGGAGUCCAGUGCUUCUGGAAGGGAUUGACCCUGCCUGAGUGAACAAGAAGCACUGUGAGUGGAAACAGGGACAGGAAGCCAAUAGAGUCAUAUCUGUGAAGCAAUGAACACCCACCUCGCUUCCCUCCGCAGAGGCGUAGAGGACGUGAUGUGCAAGUCGCUAUGAGGGCCAUUCGAAGAAGCUGGAUUUGCCAUCCACGUGGCCACUCUCUGCAUACACGAAUCGUGCAGAAACGUCGGCACUCACCUCUGGCUGCCGUGAGUAGUGUUGGGAGAGCUGCACAAAUGAGGAGCUCCGGACCGAUUCCUGGGGUAUCCGACCUUGGCCAGAACGAACUCUUGCACAAAUAUAGGUGGUUUCCAGCUGAAUGACUGCAUUUUGUAUCCACGGGUCAUUUAUAGAUGUGGAGGCAGGUGAUACAUUUCUCCAACGAGACUUACUCUUUCUUCUAUCCUUUGACGGGAAUUUAUAGCCAGAACAUAUCCGGAGUGUCUUUGGGAGCAUAUUUACCUAUCCUGGGAGCACCAGGGAUGUCUCUCGGGUCCUCGUGAACGAAGCUAGUCCCACCAAAUGUCUAACAUGGAACGUGAGAGUUGAUGGAGAUUUGGGAUUAUUUCUUCCAAUCCCUUUGAGGGCCGAGCGGUUACGGUUUGAGACAAAGCUUUCUAGGUCUUUAACACUUUUUACAAACAUGUCUGUAUGCUCUCUAAAUUAAAAUGGUUUUCUUUCUUUUUUAGACA